rnacentral:tRNA from 1 species
UCCCUGGUGGCUCAAUGGUAAAGAAUCUGCCUGCCAGUGCAGGGGACACGGGUUCAAUCCCUGGUCAGGGAA